rnacentral:tRNA from 2 species
AAUUAUUUAGUUUAACAAAAACACUAUAUUUUCAGUAUAGAGAUAGAUAAACUUUAAUAAUUU